GCGCCUGCCGAAUCAGGCGCCGGGAUUGGUCUCCUGAAUACCCUCAUCGGCGACAUAUGACGUGUAAACGUCUUUUUU
rnacentral:sRNA from 1 species